rnacentral:rRNA from 1 species
CACGUAGGGUGCAAGCGUUGUCCGGAAUUAUUGGGCGUAAAGAGCUCGUAGGCGGUUUGUUGCGUCGGCUGUGAAAUCCCGAGGCUCAACCUCGGGUCUGCAGUCGAUACGAGCAAACUAGAGUGUUGCAGGGGAGACUGGAAUUCCUGGUGUAGCGGUGAAAUGCGCAGAUAUCAGGAGGAACACCGGUGGCGAAGGCGGGUCUCUGGGCAACAACUGACGCUGAGGAGCGAAAGUGUGGGGAGCGAACAGG